AUCCACUUAAUACACUAUAAAAAGAGCAAACUGUAUUAAAUUUGUUAUAUAUAAAGGCAGAAAAAUAUGGUUAAAACAUUCAAGUUUAUUUAUUCUAUAAUUAUAUUUCUUUCUCCAUUUCUUGUUGUAAUGAACGUUGACGGUGAGCUUAUUAAAUGUACAAUGGAUGCUGAUUGUCCAACAAGUUUGAAUCGUAAGUGGCUGUGUAUUAACAACAUAUGUAGAAAGAUGUGUGUGACAAAUGUAUGAGUGACAUAACCAAGAGAGUACACUUACUCCAUGAAUGAAGAAUAUGUUCUUACUCUGGAAGAAAAUCUAUGCAUAUAUCUUACGCUGAAAUAUUCUAUAAUUAUCAUUUUAUUAUUUUGUUGACAUCGAAUAAUUAUAUGUUUUUUAUUUUUAUUUUUUCUAUUUCACGAACCUUGCAACAGGUCUUGUACUCUAAGAUGUUGGUAAAAUAUGGCACUAAAAAAUAUUAUAACUA